rnacentral:rRNA from 1 species
AGCGAACGUUAGCGGCGCGCCUAACACAUGCAAGUCGCACGAGAAACGGAGCAAUCCGCGGUACAGUGGCGCACGGGUGAGUAACACGUGGACGACCUUCCCUGGAGUGGUGGAUAACCGUGCCGAAAGGCGGGCUAAUACAGCAUAGGACCACGCCGCUUUUGCGGCGCGGUGAAAGCGGGCUUCUGUUUACAUGCUCGCGCGUCCGGGACGGGUCCGCGUCCCAUCAGCAGUUGGUGAGGUAACGGCUCACCAAGGCUUCGACGGGUAGCUGGUCUGAGAGGAUGGCCAGCCACACU